rnacentral:rRNA from 1 species
AGUUGCAAUCAUACCAUUACUAAUGCACCAGAUUCCAACAGAACUCCGAAGUUAAGCGUACUUUGGCGAGAAUAGUACUAAGAUGGGCUUUGUCACAGGACUUCCAUAGGCACAGGCA